rnacentral:rRNA from 1 species
AGAGUUUGAUCAUGGCUCAGGACGAACGCUGGCGGCGUGCCUAAUACAUGCAAGUCGAGCGGACGAAUCGAAAGCUUGCUUUUGAUUCGUUAGCGGCGGACGGGUGAGUAACACGUGGGCAACCUGCCCUGUAGACGGGGAUAACACCGAGAAAUCGGUGCUAAUACCGGAUAACACGAAAUGUCGCAUGACGUUUCGUUGAAAGACGGCGCAAGCUGUCGCUACAGGAUGGGCCCGCGGCGCAUUAGCUAGUUGGUGAGGUAACGGCUCACCAAGGCGACGAUGCGUAGCCGACCUGAGAGGGUGAUCGGCCACACUGGGACUGAGACACGGCCCAGACUCCUACGGGAGGCAGCAGUAGGGAAUCUUCCGCAAUGGGCGAAAGUCUGACGGAGCAACGCCGCGUGAGCGAAGAAGGCCUUCGGGUCGUAAAGCUCUGUUGUUAGGGAAGAACAAGUAACGCAGUAACUGGCGUUACCGUGACGGUACCUAACGAGAAAGCCACGGCUAACUACGUGCCAGCAGCCGCGGUAAUACGUAGGUGGCAAGCGUUGUCCGGAAUUAUUGGGCGUAAAGCGCGCGCAGGCGGUUCCUUAAGUCUGAUGUGAAAGCCCACGGCUCAACCGUGGAGGGUCAUUGGAAACUGGGGGACUUGAGUGCAGAAGAGGAGAGCGGAAUUCCACGUGUAGCGGUGAAAUGCGUAGAGAUGUGGAGGAACACCAGUGGCGAAGGCGGCUCUCUGGUCUGUAACUGACGCUGAGGCGCGAAAGCGUGGGGAGCAAACAGGAUUAGAUACCCUG